rnacentral:misc_RNA from 1 species
GAUGAAGAACGCAGCGAAAUGCGAUAAGUAAUGUGAAUUGCAGAAUUCAGUGAAUCAUCGAAUCUUUGAACGCACAUUGCGCCUGGCAGUAUUCUGCCAGGCAUGCCUGUCCGAGCGUCAUUUCACCACUCAAGCUCUGCUUGGUGUUGGAGGACCCGCGUUUAGUCGCGGGCCGCCGAAAUGCAUCGGCUGUUGUAUAUACAGCUUCCCUGUGUAGUAAAUGCUUAGCUUUACACUUUGAAACUUUUAUAUAACAUGCCGAAAAACCCUCAACUUUUGAAAGGUUGACCUCGGAUCAGGUAGGAAUACCCGCUGAACUUAAGCAUAUCAAUAAGCGGAGGA